rnacentral:rRNA from 1 species
CAACAGGGAUUGCCCCAGUAACGGCGAGUGAAGCGGCAACAGCUCAAAUUUGAAAUCUGGCCCUCGGGUCCGAGUUGUAAUUUGUAGAGGAUGCUUUUGGCGAGGUGCCUUCCGAGUUCCCUGGAACGGGACGCCACAGAGGGUGAGAGCCCCGUAUGGUCGGACACCGAGCCUCUGUAAAGCUCCUUCGACGAGUCGAGUAGUUUGGGAAUGCUGCUCAAAAUGGGAGGUAUAUGUCUUCUAAAGCUAAAUAUUGGCCAGAGACCGAUAGCGCACAAGUAGAGUGAUCGAAAGAUGAAAAGCACUUUGAAAAGAGGGUUAAAAAGUACGUGAAAUUGUUGAAAGGGAAGCGCCUAUGACCAGACUUGGGCCCGGUGAAUCAUCCAGCGUUCUCGCUGGUGCACUUUGCCGGGCACAGGCCAGCAUCAGUUUGGCGCGGGGGAAAAAGGCUUCGGGAAUGUGGCUCCCUCGGGAGUGUUAUAGCCCGCUGCGUAAUACCCUGCGCCGGACUGAGGUACGCGCAUUGCAAGGAUGCUGGCGUAAUGGUCAUCAGCGACCCGUCUUGAAACACGGACCAAGGAGUCGUCUUCGUAUGCGAGUGUUCGGGUGUCAAACCCCUACGCGUAAUGAAAGUGAACGCAGGUGAGAGCUUCGGCGCAUCACCGACCGAUCCUGAUGUUCUCGGAUGGAUUUGAGUAAGAGCAUACGGGGCCGGACCCGAAAGAAGGUGAACUAUGCCUGUAUAGGGUGAAGCCAGAGGAAACUCUGGUGGAGGCUCGCAGCGGUUCUGACGUGCGAAUCGAUCGUCAAAUAUGGGCAUGGGGGCGAAAGACUAAUCGAAC